UCCCCCUCCACUCCCCUGCUUGCUCUGUAAAUUAUGUCCAGUUUUUACUUACAACGAGAAGGUGCCUGGCAUGAUAAAUUCAGAACUCAGCAAUUCCCUGCUCCCCUACCCCUCGCAUGGAGAGAACUAGUUAAUGGGCCAUUAACUAGAGGAGGGGAGCACUGCAGCAGCUGCAAGCAAAAAGAACACCACCAAACAACAAGAGAAGUUUCAGGGCGAAAGCCCUGGAGACGCAGACAUAAAGACUUGGCCAUCAGCAUGGAAAUCAGUUUCCGGCAGGAUGGAGCAAUGACAAGAGGAAGAUAAAAGAAGACAACCAAAUGAGCCUCAGAGGCCCACAACAUCCAAAUUGCAAGGGCCAUGUUGAGGCUGCCAACAGGGGACAAAGCAGAGAUGUUCAGAGCUAAGAUCCUGUUCUUGUUGAAGCUCUGUGGUAUUGAGAGCUGCGUGUGGGUUCAGCUACAUUAUGAAAAUAAAGCCGGCUGGGAAAUCUAGGGCUCUAGCUACAAACUUCCCCAGAACAAAGAAUUGUUCAGCUCAUAAAGUAUGGCCAGCACUCAUGAUUUUAUAGCAUACCUCAUUUGCUUGGCUUCUUAAGAUGCCAGUUCUUGAAGCCAGGUGAUUAUGACAAGGUUUCACCUUCAAUUAAAAACACAAAGUUUCUGGACCUCGUGGUUGCAGUAAAAAGAAUUAAAUACACAGUGCCCAAAGCCUCACAUUUGAGAAGGCCAGUACAAAAGAUCAUACUUUAAACAAACUCACCAUUUUUGAGUAUUUAGAGUUGGUCACUAUAUAAAUAUAAGAGGGAGCUUGGAAAUUCAGAGACCUACCCACAUUUUUUUCUGUAGUUCAAGGCUACUUGUAUCCAGGGCUAUCAUCUGAGUCUUAUUUUAUAUAAACUCUUGUCAGUAGAUCAAACAGAAGUAAGGAGCAAAAUGCAGAAGUUUCUGGGUGAUGUUUCAUGGCCUCCAUUAUGCAGCAGGUCACUCUGGAGGAUCAGAACAUUCCCAUCUGACUUUAAAAAUCCAUGAAUCAAUAAACCUGCACUUGUGAGUUCUCUAUUACCCA